UACGGAGGGUGCGAGCGUUGUCCGGAAUCACUGGGCGUAAAGGGCGCGUAGGUGGCGCGGGAAGUCAUCGGUGAAAGCUCAGGGCUCAACCCUGAGUCGGCCGGUGAUACUCCCGUGCUUGAGUGUGGUAGAGGCCAAUGGAAUUCCGGGUGUAGCGGUGGAAUGCGUAGAGAUCCGGAAGAACACCGGUGGCGAAGGCGGUUGGCUGGGCCACAACUGACACUGAUGCGCGACAGCGUGGGGAGCAAACAGG
rnacentral:rRNA from 1 species